CCUGUGGAUGUGCUAGUUAGAUUAGCAGAGCUCCUCUCUCCCUCCUUUCUUCCAUUCCUCUUUCUUUCUUUCUUUCUUUCUUUCUUCUUUCUUUCUUCUUUCUUCUUCUUUCUUUCUUUCUUUCUCUCUCUCUCUCUUUCUUUCUUUCUUUCUUUCUUUCUUUCUUUCUUUCUUUCUUUCUUUCUUUCUUUCUUUCUUUCUUUCUUUCUUUCUUUCUUUCUUUCUUUCUUUCUUUCUGUCUUUCUUUCUUUCUCCCUUAUCUUCUAUCUUGGAAUCAAUACUCUGUAUUGGUUCUAAGGCAGAAGAGUGGUAAGGGCUAGACAAUGGAGGUUAAGUGACUUGCCCAGGGUCAUACAGCUGGGAUGUGUCUGAGGCCAUCUUACACAUUUCUUAAUGCAGUCUAGGAUCACAUUAGCUUUUUUGACUACUACAUUAGACCAUUGACUCAUCAUAUUGAACUUACAGUCCACUAAAACCCCCCUAUCUUUUCCAGAACAAUGGUGGGCUGUCCAUG
rnacentral:lncRNA from 1 species